rnacentral:rRNA from 1 species
UUCGCCCUUCGGAGAGGGCGCAUGAGAAACGGCUACCACAUCCAAGGAAGGCAGCAGGCACGCAAAUUACCCAAUCUCGGCUCGAGGAGGUAGUGACGAAAAAUAACAAUACGAGACUCAUCCGAGGCUUCGUAAUUGGAAUGAGUGUGAAUUAAAUCCUUGUUGCGAGGAUCUAUUGGAGGGCAAGUCUGGUGCCAGCAGCCGCGGUAAUUCCAGCUCCAAUAGCGUAUAUUAAAGUUGCUGCGUUUAAAAAGCUCGUAGUUGGAUCUCAGUCUCGAUCAAUCGGUUCGCCUUCCGGCGUUACUGUUUGAAUCGGACGAUGUUUGCCACAUUUCCGGGCAUGCUCUUCACUGAGUGUGUCUUGGAGAGUGGAGCGUUUACUUUGAAAAAAUUAGAGUGCUCAAAGCAGGCGUUUCGCCUGAAUAGUCGUGCAUGGAAUGAUGGAAUAGGGCCUCGGUUCUAUUUUGUUGGUUUCCGGAACUCGAGGUAAUGAUUAAUAGGGACGGACGGGGGCAUUUGUAUUGCGACGUUAGAGGUGAAAUUCUUAGAUCGUCGCAAGACAAACUACUGCGAAAGCAUUUGCCAAGAAUGUUUUCAUUAAUCAAGAACGAAAGUCAGAGGUUCGAAGGCGAUCAGAUACCGCCCUAGUUCUGACCAUAAACGAUGCCAACUGGCGAUCCGCCGCGGUUAAUCCAAAUGACUCGGCGGGCAGCUUCCGGGAAACCAAAGUUUUUGAGUUCCGGGGGAAGUAUGGUUGCAAAGCUGGAACUU